rnacentral:rRNA from 1 species
UACGAGAGGCGCAAACGUUAUUCGGAAUUACUGGGCUUAAAGAGUUCGUAGGCGGCGCAGAAAGUAGGGUGUGAAAGCCCUCGGCUCAACCGAGGAAUUGCGCUCUAAACUACUGUGCUUGAGGAACCUAGAGGUGAGCAGAACUGAUGGUGGAGCGGUGAAAUGCGUUGAUAUCAGCAGGAAUACCGGAGGCGAAGGCGGCUCACUGGGGGUUUUCUGACGCUGAGGAACGAAAGCCAGGGGAGCGAACGGG